rnacentral:rRNA from 1 species
UCUGGAAUUUUGGGCAAUGGGCGAAAGCCUGACCCAGCAACGCCGCGUGAAGGAUGAAGUAUUUCGGUAUGUAAACUUCGAAAGAAUAGGAAGAAUAAAUGACGGUACUAUUUAUAAGGUCCGGCUAACUACGUGCCAGCAGCCGCGGUAAUACGUAGGGACCAAGCGUUGUUCGGAUUUACUGGGCGUAAAGGGCGCGUAGGCGGCAAUUCAAGUCAUCUGUGAAAUCUCCGGGCUUAACUCGGAACGGUCAGAUGAUACUGCUUUGCUAGAGUGCAGAAGGGGCAAUCGGAAUUCUUGGUGUAGCGGUGAAAUGCGUAGAUAUCAAGAGGAACACCUGAGGUGAAGACGGGUUGCUGGGCUGACACUGACGCUGAGGCGCGAAAGCCAGGGGAGCAAACGGGGAUUAGAUACCCGGGUAGUCCCUGAGCGGGCUGGCAAGGCGCAU